rnacentral:rRNA from 1 species
CUUUAUGUUUAAUCUUGAAAGGUCAGUGUUUGUCCCGUCUGAUCUUGGAAGCUAAGCAGGGUCGGGCCUGGUUAGUACUUGGAUGGGAGACCACCUAGGAAGAUCAAGUGCUGUAGGCA